UACGAAGGGGGCUAGCGUUGCUCGGAAUUACUGGGCGUAAAGGGCGCGUAGGCGGAUAGUUUAGUCAGAGGUGAAAGCCCAGGGCUCAACCUUGGAAUUGCCUUUGAUACUGGCUAUCUUGAGUUCGGGAGAGGUGAGUGGAAUGCCGAGUGUAGAGGUGAAAUUCGUAGAUAUUCGGCGGAACACCAGUGGCGAAGGCGACUCACUGGCCCCGAAUACUGACGCUGAGGCGCGAAAGCGUGGGGGAGCAAACAGG
rnacentral:rRNA from 1 species